rnacentral:rRNA from 1 species
AGUCACAGCCAUAUCCGCUGCAGCCCAAGACCAGUUACUCACUGAAGUUAAGCAGGGCUGAGCCUGGUCAGUACCUGGAUGGGAGAACACUAGGGAACACUAGGUUGCUGUUGGAA